ensembl:lncRNA
ACUUUAGAGCCCCCUGCAGGCCAUUACUUGUAUUCAGUUCUAUCGUAGUUUCUUAAUAUUGCGUUCAUUCUCAUUGGCUGAUAAGAGUCACGUUCUGUUAGUCACGUGAUUUCAGACGUGAUCGGUCAGUAUUUCGGCAGCCAUUUUGAUCUGUCAUUUGAGCCAGAGAUCCACACGGUGAAACAUCUUUUUUAUCUCACGUCAUUCAUCCGUGUAAGCCUUGGAGAAGCUUUGUUUUUUCACACUUCUAAACCUGCAACAACUUGUUCAACAACUAUCAAUAAAUGGACAUACAAGUGGAUGUCGACAACAUCCUCUACGGACUUUCAUCAUUGAUCCUGUCUUCAAGUUUUGUUGGGAAAAGUGUUUAGCUGUCUGGUGAUGUGUGCAUCGCUACGCGCUCAGGUGCCAGAACAACCACACCUUACUACCCAAUGGGCAAUGGUAUCACAGAGCCCUUCAACAGGACGCUGGGGAAUAUGUUGAGAACUCUUCCCCCAACUGCAAAAGCCAGGUCCCAUGGGCUCUACCGGAAGGGGUGUGACUUCGCCACUCUAUUUGGAUACCCCAACCACAGAUGGGUUGGAUGAAUACAUGCAGUUUUCAAAGCUCAGAAGGCUGUUCAUAAAACACAACAAUGCCCUGACCUCAAGCGCUGCAGUAGAGAGGCUCUUCAGCAUCGGUGGUCUCAUAUUCAGCUGGGAGAUUCCAACUUUGAGAAGCAGCUGAUCUUGAAUGCCAAGAAAAAGUUUUGAAGGAGGAAAAAAACAGCAGAUCCACCAGGGAAAGACCACUGUGACCAAUGACAGAGGAUCUUCAUUCAGAUAAGGGAUUGGACAGAUAAUAACACCGUCCAUGGCCCUGCACACUUUGACUUUUUUUUUAUUAUUAUUACUUUAGUUAUUUAUGUGGAAUGUAACCAGUGGUAUUCAUUCAGUUAAGGGAUUUUUAUUCACUGGUCAGAAAGUGGGAGCACUGUCCAUGGCCUUGGACUCUGACUGACUCUUUUUAAGUUAUUGUUUUGCUUUACUUAUUCAUUGGGCAAACAAGCCGAAAAAAUUAAAAGUGAC